ACACACUCUCGCGGAGGAGGGGGCGCGGUGACGUCACUCCCAGCAUCCAUCCACCAGGCCAGAAAAGACCCUCUAACAAAUUCACUCCUCUCCUUAGAGAUGCACACCCCAUGGCGCUCCCGUCUCUGCGUCCUGGCGCAGGGCAGGAAGAAAUGCUGGUCGCGCCCCAUUCAGAGCAGUUACAAUAAGAAAAGGAGCGUGUGUUGAUGAGACAGUUUGUGGCCGCCUCACUUCACCUUGGCUGCCUCGUUCGGGGAUGCUUGUAGGAUCCACUUUGGAGUCAGAGUAAGAAAGAGCAGUAUUGAAUCAAUCUUAGUGUAAUACUCUUGCUGUGCUUCCAUGCUCCUUGCUUUUCUGAUCUUGGAAAAUCAGUGAUCCCUGGUUUCUCUGAAGGACAUCAUGGUACCAUCUCUCUAGACAAGCACCCAGUUGUUGGGCUACACAAGCUUCAUCCACAGAAUCCUUUAUCCACAGAACACACUAUGAGGAUUGUUAGCUAAGAGGUGAUUUUAACCUUCGCUCCUCCUAGGAUCUCUAGCAUGUGGACAAAGUCAGCAGCUAGCUGGAAGCCACCAUGGGCGAUUUAUUGGCCUGCCACAACUGUAUUAUACAUUUGGUCAAAAAGGUUAAAUAAGGUAGAGGCAGGGCCUCCAGCCACCUCCCUUACUCAUUCCAUGUUCAGGCCAGGAUGUAACACACAAUACUUAUUCCUGCAGGCUGGAGGCUGUGUUUGAAAGAGCAAAGGUAAGCAGACCGCCUUAGAUUCAGCCUAAUGAUCCGGCAUCCUGACUGACUUGUCUCAGGCUGCCCAUUUGUUCCCACCAUCUGCAUGCUGUGUUCCUGAAAGGCACUGAAGGACUGUUCAGUAAUUCUCUGCGCUCUGUGUGCUCCGGGAAGAAGUUACAUAGUUUUGAAAGGAGUCUUGUUAAAUGAAGUUUAGUUUUCUAGCAGUUUGAGGGGCAGAGGGGAGGGUCAUCUUGGCAUGGCUUUAGCUUGAUCUGUUAUUUUUUAUGGUUAGCCUUAUAGUGAAAAUCAAGAAGAAAUCUAUUCUUUUGUAAGCUUCCAGUGCCAGGUUUACACUCCAAACUUUCUCAUGACACGAAGAACUGCAUGGCUGAGCAGGUAUGGUGGACACCUGCCCCCUGUGGUGUAAGGAUGGAACCAGAAAUCUGAGCAUCCACAUAGGUGAUUUUCACUCGAAGUAUAAACUCUGAUUUGGCUUUCUCAUUGCUACAUCUCCCCCCCUAAACUAGGGAGUCCUAUUUUCCUCUUGCAAAAGUUGGAUGCUAGGGGAACAAACAAAAAGUUCUUAAAACCCUAGUAUUCCUCUGCUGUUGUCUUUGGUAGAGAGAGACACAUACACCUGCCGAAUUUAAGAACAUCUGACCAAAUCUGACUUUAAGAAGAUCCCAGCUGGGACACCUGACUGUUAUCUGUGCCCAUAAGCGAGGAACUAUCAACGUACCCCACUGGCAGCAAGUCAAACUAGCUCGAGAACUGAGUGAUUAUAAUUACCAAGGGUAACAUUUCUUGUUGCUGCCAGGCAGCACUCACUGUGGUCUUAAAGGAAAGAAAUUGCAUCUUUCUCCAAAGAAAGGCCUAGAAAAGCCAACCUCACUACCUGACUGCUCAGUUCGGCUGCUGCAUCUCACCCUCACCUGCAGUGUGCAGAGGACGUUAUGCUAUGCUCGUGAUCUGUGAAAGGAGAUGAGACACCUGGGACUAUUAACAACCUUGGACUUCGAGAAGCACAAAGUCAAAUCAAGGCAGGCAGGUGUCUUCCUCUGCCCUUCCUUAUGCCACAAAACCAGUGGUCAGACAUCUAGAAGCAGUCCUGAAAAUGUCACUCGGCACCCAUGAUUUUACUUUUUCCCUUCCACCUGAGGGACCUCCUGCCUGGUGUGUCUUAGGAAAUAUCUUACCUUUCACCAAGUGGGGGGUAAGAAAGAAGAGGGUACCUGCAUCAGUUUCCCUUUUUAUUCCUGAACCCCACCCAAAAAGCAGUCUGUGUUCCAAGACUAUGGAUUUCAAAAUGGCUCAUUUCAGUCCAUUCUACACUGGGUAAAGAAGAAAUGAGAAAUUAGAGCAAAUGCUGAAAGCUAUAAUAUUUUUCUGUGAUUUAAUCUUCCCUGUGCCAUCUAUAACACACCUGCCUUUUAUUAAAGUUAUAUUUAUACUUGUUUUUCUCAUUCCCUCCCCAUGCCUCUGCCACAGGCCAACUUCCAUAUAUGUUUCCAGAUUGCAAGACUUUAUAAAAUCUUUAAGAGAGAGACUGGGUCUUAAUCUUUUGUGUGUCCCUUGUAUACCUGCAGAAUGUCCUAUACGUGAGAUAGUUCUGUUUAAAUGAAUUUUGUGGAUGUCUAGUGACUUCUUUGAAAUUAAUGAGAACUCUAUACAGCACAAGUGCAUCCCAAUUUUCCCAGUUUAACAUAACCUAUUGUAGUGUCCCCAGGGAGUAUACUUGCAUUUAUCAGAUCACAUGUCCAAAUAUUGGACUGCCAAACCCCUGGAAUGGUGGUUCACAAUCCUGGAAAACUUCUAAAACCUAUGCCCAGGGCCCACUCUCAUGAGCUGAAUUGUAUUCUUUGGGAAUGGGGACCUAGCAUAUUUUUUAUAAAGCUUCCUAAGUGAUUCAAAUGUUUAACUAAAGUGGGGUAGCCUUGCUUUAUAGCUCUAGGUAGCACAAUUUGAAAAUCACUAGACUAGAUCAUUUCUAAAGUGUUUUCCAGGUCUAGGAUUCUUUGUGAAAGUGAUUUUAUUUUAUAUGUGAAUAAAAAAAUAAACUUUGACUGGAUUCCAUUUUUAAGUAGUAACUACAAA